AUUUAUUUCCCUUCAAAGUAAUAGGGGUCUUUACAGAAAAGAAAUUACAAAAUGCAGUUGCAAGUUGGGAAAUUAAAAAUAAUUUAGUAGCAUUAAUUUAAGCAGACCCUUUAACCUUCUUAAAAAUAGCAAAAAUUGCACCAAGCACAGCUACUACAGCACCUGAUAUCAAAAGGGUUGCCUUCAAAUCUCCUUCUCCUUUCUUUUCCUCCUUGAUUUCCUUAGAUAUUUCAUCAACGACGGCAGCUACCGCCUCCUCCGAUGGUGGUUCCGGCGCCGGCGCCGGUUGAGCUGAAGGUUCGAUUGUUCCCUCUUCAGUUGCCAUUUUUUUAAAAAAAACUUUGGUUACUAUUGAU
rnacentral:misc_RNA from 1 species